rnacentral:ncRNA from 1 species
CAAAAGCUUGGUCCUGACUUUACUAUCAGCUAUAGCCCAAAUUACACAUGCAAGUCUCCGCACCCCCGUGAAAAUGCCCUUAGUCCCCCAACCGGGGACAAGGAGCAGGUAUCAGGCACAAACCUCAGCCCAAGACACCUUGCUACGCCACACCCCCAAGGGAAUUCAGCAGUGAUAGACAUUAGGCCAUAAACGAAAGUUUGACCUAGUUAGGGCUAAAAGGGCCGGUAAAACUCGUGCCAGCCACCGCGGUUAUACGAGAGGCCCCAGUUGAUGAAUAACGGCGUAAAGCGUGGUUAGGAUCCUUACUACUAAAGCUAAACAUCCCUAAAGCUGUCAUACGCGAUUAGGGGCACGAGACCCCUCAACGAAAGUGGCUUUAAUACAACCUGACUCCACGACGACUAAGAAACAAACUGGGAUUAGAUACCCCACUAUGCUUAGUUGUAAACCCAGAUGCUACAUUUACAUUUAGCGUCCGCCAGGGUACUACGAGCGCUAGCUUAAAACCCAAAGGACUUGGCGGUACCUUAGAUCCACUUAGAGGAGCCUGUCCUAGAACCGAUAAUCCACGUUUAACCUCCCCCCUUCUUGCCUGACCAGCCUAUAUACCGCCGUCGUCAGCUUACCCCGUGAGGGUAAUAUUAGUAAGCAGAAUUGGCACCGCCCAAAACGUCAGGUCGAGGUGUAGCAUAUGAAGGGGUAAGAGAUGGGCUACAUUUUCUAACAUAGAAUAUUACGGAAGGCGCCAUGAAAUAGGCACCCGAAGGCGGAUUUAAUAGUAAAAGAGAAUCAACAAGUCUCUUUGAACACGGCCCUGAGGUGCGCACACACCGCCCGUCACUCUCCCCAACCAGUGAACAACCAAUAAAUAAAUAUAAAUAAAGGACAAGGGGAGACAAGUCGUAACAUGGUAAGUGUACCGGAAGGUGCACUUGGACUAAC